UGGGGUAUAGCUCAGCUGGGAGAGCGCCUGCUUUGCACGCAGGAGGUCAGCGGUUCGAUCCCGCUUAUCUCCA
rnacentral:tRNA from 1 species